CAAUAGCGUAUAUUAAAGUUGUUGCAGUUAAAAAGCUCGUAGUUGGAUUUCUGGUGGGAGCGACGGGUCCGCCCUUAUGGGGUGUGAACUUUGUUUGCUCUCGCCAUCCUUGUGGAAGACUUGUCUGGCAUUAAGUUGUCGGGUUUGAAUUCUGCAUCGUUUACUGUGAAAAAUUAGAGUGUUCAAAGCAGGCCGUAGGCCGUUGAAUACAUUAGCAUGGAAUAAUAAGAUAGGACUUCAGUACUAUUUUGUUGGUUUGCGUACCGAAGUAAUGAUUAAUAGGGACAGUUGGGGGUAUUCGUAUUCAGUUGUCAGAGGUGAAAUUCUUGGAUUUAUUGAAGACGAACUACUGCGAAAGCAUUUACCAAGGAUGUUUUCAUUAAUCAAGAACGAAAGUUAGGGGAUCGAAGAUGAUCAGAUACCAU
rnacentral:rRNA from 1 species